rnacentral:rRNA from 1 species
GAUGAACGCGGCGGCGUGCCUAAUACAUGCAAGUAGAACGCUGAAGCUUGGUACUUACACCGAGCGGAUGAGUUGCGAACGGGUGAGUAACGCGUAGGUAACCUGCCUGGUAGCGGGGGAUAACUAUUGGAAACGAUAGCUAAUACCGCAUAACAGUCGACAUUGCAUGAUGUUGAUUUGAAAGGGGCAAAUGCUCCACUACCAGAUGGACCUGCGUUGUAUUAGCUAGUUGGUGAGGUAACGGCUCACCAAGGCGACGAUACAUAGCCGACCUGAGAGGGUGAUCGGCCACACUGGGACUGAGACACGGCCCAGACUCCUACGGGAGGCAGCAGUAGGGAAUCUUCGGCAAUGGACGGAAGUCUGACCGAGCAACGCCGCGUGAGUGAAGAAGGUUUUCGGAUCGUAAAGCUCUGUUGUAAGAGAAGAACGAGUGUGAGAGUGGAAAGUUCACACUGUGACGGAACUACCAGA